rnacentral:rRNA from 1 species
UACGUAGGUGGCAAGCGUUGUUCGGAAUUACUGGGCGUAAAGCGCGUGUAGGCGGUUUGGCAAGUCGGAUGUGAAAGCCCAGGGCUCAACCCUGGAAGUGCACUCGAAACUGCCGAACUGGAGUCCCGGAGAGGAAGGCGGAAUUCUCGGUGUAGAGGUGAAAUUCGUAGAUAUCGAGAGGAACACCUGUGGCGAAGGCGGCCUUCUGGACGGUGACUGACGCUGAGACGCGAAAGCGUGGGGAGCAAACAGG